rnacentral:tRNA from 1 species
GCCGGGAUGGUGGAAUUGGCAGACACGUACGUUUGAGGGGCGUAUGCUUAACAGCGUGGGGGUUCGAGUCCCCCUCCCGGCA